GGUUAUAGCUCAGUGGUAAAGUGCUUGCCUAGCAUGUAUGAGGCACUGGGUUCAAUUCUCAGCACCA
rnacentral:tRNA from 1 species